UUUUCGUUUCUCAGUUUUUGUUGCUCAGUGUGAUUAUUUUUAACCCAAGCAGUAGUCAUUUGAGGCUCUCAUAGACUCUUAGGCUCUUAUCAGAUAAACGAACCCCAAACCUUGAAGGAUUAGAAACAUCAUCUACUUGAAGGUGGACACAAAGGCCUCCUCCCUCCAAACCAAAAUGAAAGCUGGGAAAGAGACUCAGUGAAUUGCUGAAGGCACUCCAGGCCCUUGACUUUUCUUAUUUGGAGUCAAGUGUACCUGAAGCCCCAAAAGACAUGUUUAUCAUAGAACAAGCUACAAUGAAGGUCCAUGUGUUUGAUCCAGAGAACUUUAAUACAGAGGCGCUAGAAGAACCGUAAAUAGACAUGAUUGUGAAAUCGCUAAGGAUAUCCCAGGUAGAGCAAAAGCCUUCUGUCCUUGAGUACGGCUCAGCACAGUGCAUCCUACUGCAGACUGAAUUACACUUUUUUGGCCAGAUCCAGACCUCUGAGGUUCUUCCAGGAAGUGUAUUUCUAAAACUUUCCACAGCCCGUGAAGAGUCCUUAUUUGCACAGAUUUAUCAUUAGUAACAAACAAGUUGUUCUUUAUGUUAGAAGUAGUUUCAGAAUCUGGGGACUUUGGAGGUCGAUUUGCACUUGCCUGUCCAAGUUACCAUCAACCCCAUUCCCGGAGCUAUUGAGCUUCAGGACCUCUGAAUCAAAACUCUUACAUCAUGGUGGCAGUUGCACAAAUAUGCUAAAGGCCACUGAACUGCGCACUGAAUGGCAUGUGGAUUGUGUCUCAAUAAAGAAAGGACAGAAUUCUUUCAUUUGCAAAUAAUGAAAUCUGACUCAAACCAACUCAAGUGCAAAAGGAAACUCAAUAGCCCAUAUCAAUGCAGAAUCUCACACUAGAUGGCCAAGCUCGACGCAGGAAGGCUUUCUCCACAAGGGACCUGUAGCAGCGCCCAGCUUAUGUUUUUACUCCUUUUGAGCCUUUAGAAGAAGCUUCUGUUGCAGAAGUUCCAGAAAUCUGGAGCCAAGGAUCCUUGGCUUAAUUUGACCUUCCCUCCACUCUUCUCCCCCAAAGCUGCUCAUAAGUAACUUCAGGUAAGAAGUGACCUCCCUCUCUCCAGACAUAGGAGCACCCUUGUCACCGAAGAUAAAGAGAACAAUCCCAGUUUACUACUCUUACCACGCCUGCCUUUUACCCAGUUGUGUUUCUCCACAAGCUUUCAGCAAACUCUUACAAAAACCACUCAGCUUUGCUCAUUUCUUGGGCUCUCC
rnacentral:lncRNA from 1 species